GUGGCUUAGUGGUUAGAGCGUCCGCCUCGAAAACCGGAGGUCGUGGGUUCUAUCCCCAAACGAGUCA